CAGUCGCCGCGGUAAUACGUAGGUCCCGAGCGUUGUCCGGAUUUAUUGGGCGUAAAGGGAGCGCAGGCGGUUUAGUAAGUCUGGAGUUAAAGGCACUGGCUCAACCAAUGUAUGCUUUGGAAACUGUUUGACUUGAGUGCAGAAGGGGAGAGUGGAAUUCCAUGUGUAGCGGUGAAAUGCGUAGAUAUAUGGAGGAACACCAGUGGCGAAGGCGACUCUCUGGUCUGUAACUGACGCUGAGGCUCGAAAGCGUGGGUAGCAAACAGGAUUAGAUACCCCAGUAGUCCCUGUCUCUUAUACU
rnacentral:rRNA from 1 species